AUUGAACGCUGGCGGCAGGCCUAACACAUGCAAGUCGAGCGAGCGGCGGACGGGUGAGUAAUGUCUGGGAAACUGCCUGAUGGAGGGGGAUAACUACUGGAAACGGUAGCUAAUACCGCAUACCAUCAGAUGUGCCCAGAUUGGGUUAGCUAUUCGGGGGGUGAACGGCUCACCUAGGCGACGCUCUGUAGCUGGUCUGAGAGGAUGACCAGCCACACUGGAACUGAGACACGGUCCAGACUCCUACGGGAGGCAGCAGUGGGGAAUAUUGCACAAUGGGGGCAAGCCUGAUGCAGCCAGGCCGCGUGUGUGAAGAAGGCCUUCGGGUUGUAAAGCACUUUCAGCGGGGAGGCGUUACCCGCAGAAGAAGCACCGGCUAACUCCGUGCCAGCAGCCGCGGUAAUAC
rnacentral:rRNA from 1 species